GUUGUGAAUUGUUCACAUUCUGAGAUUGCCUGAAGUGUUCAAUUCAAGGUGAACUCUGCACUCAUUCUCAGCUUCUACUGCUGCAUAAAUAUUUCAAUAAUCAAGAUUAGAUGAGGCCAGGAGAAAGCAGUCUUUUGAAUGAGCUAACAGGGACAACCCAUGAAAACUGAUGUGCAGAUGCUUGACAGUCAGUUAGCUGACAGAAUUGAAUGGACUGGACAAACUAGACAUCAACGUCAGGGGAAAGAAUUAGCAAGAUAUGCUGAUGGAGUUGGAAGGAAAGAGUUGGGAGGAAGAUCAUGGGGAGCUCAACGGUGAAGGCAGCCUCUAACAGGGCAGAAAGAGCCCAGGGUGGAAGGGUGCUGGAUAUCAGGCUCCCACCCCAUAUCGUAGGUGAAUGGUGGCCCUUGCAGGGGAAGAAGACCAGGAUUGCUCCUACGGGAAUGCAGCGACAUUAUGUCCGACCAAUUGAGGAAGUAGCACUCUUCAUUACUCUGCAUCUCUCACAUUGGCCCCGCUGAAAGAUUCAUUCAAUGCACGCUGCUUCUAACCAAUGACUGUGACACCUUCUCUCUCAUCUCCUGCAGGUAGUGCCAGCAUCUCCAGUACCUCUUCAGUCAAACACUCGGCUCCUUUCGAAGCGACCUUCUCGACCUCUGAGGAUGAGAGUCCUGGGGCCUCAGAGGAAUUAGCAACAAGCCUGCCUCCUACAACUCCACUUCUGCUCCAGAGUGGCUUCUGCAUCAUCUUGAAAUAAAAGAAACAAUGCAUAUAUAAGGCAACAAUGCAUAUAUAAGGAGGUGGGGUGGGGGCAGCGUUGUAGAGGGGGCCAUCAGUAUUUGCAAGCGGGAUAGUCAGAGCAAGGCAUGCUGGGAAAAAUGAUUUGCUCAGUGGGUAUUGGUCUAUUUAAUAUUUACAGAGAUAA